rnacentral:rRNA from 1 species
ACGAACGCUGGCGACAGGCCUAACACAUGCAAGUCGAACGCUCGUAGCAAUACGAGAGUGGCAGACGGGUGAGUAACACGUGGGAACCUUCCCUAUGGUUCGGAAUAGCUCAGGGAAACUUGGGGUAAUGCCGGAUAAGCCCUUCGGGGGAAAGAUUUAUCGCCAUUGGAUGGGCCCGCGUAGGAUUAGCUAGUUGGUGAGGUAACGGCUCACCAAGGCGACGAUCCUUAGCUGGUCUGAGAGGAUGAUCAGCCACACUGGGACUGAGACACGGCCCAGACUCCUACGGGAGGCAGCAGUGGGGAAUAUUGGACAAUGGGCGAAAGCCUGAUCCAGCGACGCCGCGUGGGUGAAGAAGGCCUGCGGGUUGUAAAGCCCUUUCAGUGGGGAAAAAAGCCUCGAGUUAACACCUCGGGGUCUUGACGUAACCCA